rnacentral:rRNA from 1 species
GGAAGGAUCAUUAUCGUACAAAAUGUGAGGGGCAUGUGAGGGCUGUCGCUGACUCAAAGUCGUGCACGCCCGAGUGUGUCCUCUCACAUAAUAAUCCAUCUCACCCUUUGUGCAUCGCCGCGUGAGCACCCUUUGGGAUCAUCUCGGAGGGGGCUCGCGUUUUCACACAAACCCCCCUUUUAAAAGUGUAGAAUGACCUCAUUUAUGCGCUAACACGCAAUCAAUACAACUUUCAACAACGGAUCUCUUGGCUCUCGCAUCGAUGAAGAACGCAGCGAAAUGCGAUACGUAAUGUGAAUUGCAGAAUUCAGUGAAUCAUCGAAUCUUUGAACGCACCUUGCGCCCCUUGGUAUUCCGAGGGGCACACCCGUUUGAGUGUCGUGAAAACCUCAACCUCCUUGGUUUCUUCUGGAGACCAAAGGCAGGCUUGGACUUUGGAGGCCCUUGCUGGAACCUCUCUCUUUUGAAGGCCAGCUCCUCUUAAACGAAUUAGCAGGGUCCUCUUUGCCGAUCCUCGACGUGUGAUAAGAUGUUUCCAUGUCUUGGUUUCUGGCUCUGUCACUUUUGGGACCCGCUUCUAACCGUCUUGACCUUGCAUCGAGACAAUGUUCGAGCAUGUCUCCCUUCUCGGGAAGCUCCCUCGACCCCACGAACCCUUGACCUCAAAUCGGGUGAGACUACCCGCUGAACUUAAGCAUAUCAAUAAG